rnacentral:rRNA from 1 species
ACGGAGGGUGCAAGCGUUAAUCGGAAUUACUGGGCGUAAAGCGUGCGCAGGCGGUUUGUUAAGUCCGUUGUGAAAGCCCCGAGUUCAACUUGGGGAUUGCAGUGGAUACUGGCAGGCUGGAGUACGGUAGAGGAAGGUGGAAUUCCCGGUGUAGCAGUGAAAUGCGUAGAGAUCGGGAGGAACACCCGUGGCGAAGGCGGCCAUCUGGACCAGUACUGACGCUGAGGCACGAAAGCGUGGGGAGCAAACAGGA